UCUUCAGUAGUUUGAAAUAAAAUUAAGGCUUUGGGGGCUUUGGAUCUUAUAGAAGUAAGUUGGAGAA
rnacentral:tRNA from 1 species